GCGGGGGCUCAGUGGUCGAGUGCUUGCCCACCACUCUGGGGCCCUGGGUUCCAUCCCCAGCCCCACA
rnacentral:tRNA from 1 species